AAGUGGAGUGGGGAUGAAGCCCCUGAGCUCUUCAGCUUGUCUGGAAAUACCCUCUCUUGGGAGCUGCAACACCUCUACUGAGGAUGUUUCCUCUUAGAGCUGGGCCGUUUCUGGACUUCCAUGUCUCAUGGGCUCCUUGUCUCAGGACGCCCUUCCAUUGGGACAUUGUCCCACCUCAGAGAUGUGGUUCCUGGGCUCCGAGUCCCAGGAUACCAUCUCAUCCUAGCAGGAACACCAACAGCUAUGACCUAUGGAAGCACAAAGCUUCCUAAGUCUAUUAUUAUAUUCAUUAUUAUUGAUCAUUACUAUUAAUAAUAAAGGAUCCUUUUCAAGAGUUGAUUGCAGUAUAUCCUGCUCUAUCUCAUGUGUUUGAACCCCUUUUCCCCUUGGGCAGCACUGUCUUGAGAAGUCAGGGAGCCCUUGUACUUGUGGCCUGGCUGGAGGCAAUGGGUCCUUAGGAGACCAGGGAGAUUGUCAAUGCAGUGAAACAAGUUGCCUCAACACCUGUGCCAGUGCCAGCAGGUGAGCCCACUAACAGGGUAUGCCUGAUCUUCUGAAAGCCUGACCCAAAAUAACCUCUCUCUUUCUUAAAUAGUUUAAAGGUAUGGAUUUGGGAGAAUCCAUAAAAAGAGCUAAAAAAUGAUAAUGGUUUUGGCCAGCUGUGAUUGGCCUGUGGUUCCUGUGAGCUCACAAGGAGUCAUUGUGAGCAAUGAUAGUAACCUACCUAUAUGAGGCACUGGUUGGCCCUGCAUCUUGUCCAUAUACUGAAGAGAUGCUGUUGCAGUUGGACUCAGACUUUGUUCUGAGAGUUUUAUUUUUUAUUGUCCAUCUUUGGAACUGGACAUUUGUGAUCUUCACUGACCUGAACAUUGUGAGUUUGUUUUCUUGUGGACUGUUUUUUUGUGCCUGGAUUUUGAUUUACUCUUUAUUGCCUUGGAUCUAGUUUGUGCAUGUGCUUUAGUUUAUUUCUAUACUAUCAGUCAUUUUCUAUUAUUACCUAUUAAUUUAUCUUUGACAUUUUGUACAUUGGUUUAUUUCUUUACUUAUAAUAGCUGUGAAAAAUAAUUUAAUUAACCAAUGCUCUUGGAUCAUAUCCAUCUGCUUUGUUACUUCACCAGCCUUUCCCUGUGGUUAGAAAUUACCCUAUCAUGGUAAAAGUAUUUCCCAGCCGCCAAGACACUCAUGAGACAAAACAUGCCCUGGGGGAUCUUGAGGGAUAGCACAUUUUGUCAUGACGUCAUGGUGUCACGGACAGGCUACUGAGAGGCCAAAUCUACUUCAUCUUGGAACUGGCCUCCAUCCUAAAAGAAAAGAAAACUGAGACCUUGACCUGCAACUGAAGCCAAGCUACACUCAAGUACCAGGAAGGACCUCACAGUUUGUCCUUGACCCAUACCUCAGAGUUUCUCCCUACUUCCUAGGAACAGUGAAUCAAAGAUUAGUCUGAUUGUUUCAAAUGUACUUUCAGACUGUUUGUGACCGUUCAUGGUCCUACUUCAAAACACCCACCAGUUGGCUCACAAUAGUCAUCUUGUUAGGUACUGGCCAGGCUGGAUGUCCCCUCGCUGCUACCAUUUCCUAUAUAACCUUGUCCUGCUGAGGGUUCAAGGCUACUCUGCUUUCGAGUCCUGUGUGUCAAGGCUGGGUUGGAGAAGAGUCCCAAGCUUGAGCUUGUAAUAAGGAGUCCCUAGUUCAGUUGCAUUGGAAAAGAGUUCAUUGCUCCUUGGUGGUCUUUUGGGGUUCAUGAACACUUCCUAGCACAACAGCUACCAGCAUUUUGAUGCCUACAAAUAUGAGUUUAAGAGAAAGAAAUUGAGUAUUACAAAGUCUGCAGUAACUAGUCAUUAGAGAAUAUGCAGGUCUUAGAGAAAAGUAUCUCAGAGAAGCCUGUGUGUUCAAUUUCUAUCUAGUUAAUAACCAAGUCUCUAACCCAGGUCAGCCCAAAGCUGACAGUCCAUUCUUGUCACUGCUGCUCUUAUUAAAGUCAAAAUGUCCUUCUUAAGGUUUGAAUGUGAGAAGUUUCAUAGCAACUCAUGUAUUUGAAUUCUUGGUCUCUAGCAGAAGGUUUGGAAGGUUGUGAAAUAACAGGGUGGUGGAACCUAGCAAGAAGAAUUGGGUCACUAGAGGCAAUGUAACCUGCCAAGGCCACAUAAGCAGCUGCUCCAGACCCAUCAUCUCAAGUCUCCAUCCAUGGCUUCCCUGAGCCAAAGCAAAACCUGUGUAAUAUGUGCUGCUUCUUCUCAGGGAUUUGGCAAUGAGAAAAAUAAGGCAGUACUGGAGAUAGAAAGUGAUUAAAUUAUUUUUUGGUUGUGAACUACCAUAAUUGGUUCAUUUCUUGCUAUGAUCUCACUGGAACCAUUGUGAAGAGUUGCAGACCCCACCCAUUUAUGGCACUGGCUGGGCUUGGGUCUUCUCAUAAUUCUCACAGGAGGGAAGCUGUUGGCUGUAGAACAGUUGGACUCGGACAUUGGUUCUCAUAGACUUCAAUAUCAUUGAUCUCUUGGAAACAGACAUUUUGAUCUGGUUUGACCUCCAAAGACUUGAGGAACAUUGGUCUCCAUUACAUUGUAUAGCCAGUAGAGAAGACCCAUCCUGCAAUCUCCUGGUCCUGGUCUGUACUUAUUAGGAAAGACUGUACUACUCUUUCUAUUUUGUUCCUAUACUGUUCUCUUCACAUAUGUUCUAACACCCUGAAUUUAUCAUCAAAACUGUGGUGGAGCAGGGGGAAGGUAACAGGUAGUGGGCAUGCUUGAUAAUCAACCCUUUUAUCAAUGCUGUGUGUGUUUUGUGAAUUGAGAAUGAGUAUGAGUUUGUCUUGAUCCUGUACAAACCCAGGAAGAAACCUUACUUGUUUAUUCUGUUUCCCAUGUCAAUAACUUGUUUUUUCCCUGGGUGAUUCAGGACAAGCUUUUUUCAGAUUUGUUUAUCCUUUCAAAUGAUCAGCUCUUUGUUUCUUUGAUCUUUGUUUCAACUUAUAAGGGUCCACUUAUUUCCAGGUUCUUCUUGUGUUAGGGAAGAUAGCUCACUAGACCAAGUGCUCUAAACACAUGUAAGUGCUCUAGAACACACAUACAAUAAGAAUUUAUUUAGUACCACUGCUGGGCAGUGCAGGAAGAAGAGUGACAGUCCAACAACAUCAGGGUUGAACAUGAGCAAGACUGGGGAAGCAUAGCAUUUACAUGGAGAAGCAUAUAGAGUACAAGUGGGUUGGAGAAAUUUAUAAAAAUAUUUAAUUCAAUUUAUAAGCCUUUCUGUGUGGAAAUAAAGGAGAAAGAGACUAAGAAAUUAAGAGACAUAUUCAUUUUGCAGGCAUCUAUUGAGGAACGACAGUGUCAGGCAUGGGUAUUGGAGAAAAUGCCCUUGAGGAACUUGGUUGUAGCAGUAGGUAAAUACAUAGUAUAGAGUGCCAACUCUGUGACAGUCCAGGGACGAAGAGGACCAUCUCUGAAAUGUCUUGGAAUGCGGGUUGGAAUAAAUUAUAGCUACAUGAGGACCUGGGAAACAAGGAUUUAGUCAGGAGAAAGGAGCAGGAUACCUCAGACAGAAGAACUACUUGAGUGAAGUCUUAGAGGUUAGAGAGAAAGAAGAUGGUAAGUUCUAUAGAUGGUAGCUAGAAUAGAGCACACUGUGGAAAAUCAAGGAGUGAUGGUUGGGCUACACAGGUAAGACCCAGGCCAGCCAGGACCACAGGGAUUCGAAGUGAUCUUCAAAACCAUCACAUACACAGCCUAGUCCAGAUUACUACUAAAUAGACUUGUCACUGUGUGUCACCAGAUCUCCUGGAGCUGGAAUUGUGGGCUGCUGAGAGCUGCAUUAAACAGGUGCUAGCAAAGAUUCCUUGCAUUCUUACUUCUAGAUGAACUUAUUCUCACAGUCUUGUUCUUUAGGUCUGGGAGCUUCGCAGGUUUAAACGCAAAACAUAUUUAUUCUCCUCUCUGAGAGUAUAAGUUCCUUAUAAAAGACUUUUCUGUCUAUCAUAUGCCUUUGCUGAUGUAUCUUAGCUAUUCAAAUGUCUUUAACAAUGGGUUAAUAGCAGUUGUCUUGGAUUCACCCUCAUCUCAGGGUUGAGGAUUUUGUGGUCCUCAUUAUUCUGAAGGCUUCUCAGUGUUUUAUGGAUCUAGGAAGAAAAGUCUUUCCUUCUCCAGAUUGUAAGUUCCUGGCUUAUGGAUCUUUCCUUUUUGUUUUUUCUUGUAUCUGCUUUUCUUCACUGUGAUAAAAUAUUGAAGAUAGGCAUAGAAUGAAUAUUUUGGCUCAAGAAUUUUGAAUUUAGAGGUUUUGGGUUGGGUCUGAGGUGAGGUAGAACAUUAGAACAAAGCUGUUUACCUCAUGGCAGCCAGAGAGCAGAGAGUGGAGAGAUGAGAAGAGGCCAGUUGUCUAAUAGUUCCUUCAAAGGCUUGUCCACUUGCUGAACUUUCUUCCAUGGGGGCCUUCAUUUUACUAUCUGUCAACAGCACUAUUGGCUGGGGACCAAGUGCUCAACAUAUAUACCUGUAGUCACUUUUCUGACUUUUUUUUUAAAAUAAAAAGCUUACUUUUUGACUAGCAUACAAAGUAAUACAUUUCCUUUUUGUACAUAAUUUUCUGUGAUCCUCCUGCUUUCCUCAGUUUUUUCCUGUUUCCUGGCCUGUAUCAUUCCACCCCUAACACCACCUUUGUACUUUCAUAUAACAUGUACCCAUUGCUUUCCUUGAAGCCUCUUUCCCCCUUUCUGAUCUCUCCCCACGACUCCCAAAUAUAUAAAAAUUUGAAACCAGGAUCCCCAUAUGACAGAGAACUUGUAGCUUUUAUCUUUCUGAGUUUGGGUUACCUAUUUUAAUAUAUUUUCUGGUUUCAUUCCUUUGCCAGAAAAUAUGACUUUUACCUAGCAAGCCUUUCACCCAAGUGGCCCUUGAACAUCGCAUUGUUCCUAGAAAUACCAUAAAGGGUGCUAAUUGCUCCUCUUCCAUAGCAGUCAACAGACAUUGCUCAUGACCAUCGGAUAUUCCACCGGGCCAGAGUUAUUUGCAGCCUUGGAACCCAAAAACAAACAAAUCAUUUUAAAAGUCAGCUUCCCCAUAAAUCUCUUACCAAAUCAUGUAAUGCCAAGGCUUGGAAACCCCAGCUAGCUGGGUUUUUUUCCUUUAAAAACCCCUUCCCCUAGACCUUGGGGUCACUCUCAUCCUGUUGCAUCAGGAACUUUUUGUGGCCCAGGCUCAAAUAAAGACUCUCAUGUGCUUGCAUUGGA